UUUGAUUUUUAUGGGGGGGGGGAUAGGAUGAAAUUUGAAAAAAAUAGGCAGGACAGGAGUUUUGAGUAAAAAAAAAGGCAGGAUGAGCAACUUGGUAAAAAAAAAAAAGGUAGGAUGACAAUUUGUGUAAAAAAAGUCAGGAUAAACUAGUAAAAAAAAAGGCAGGACCAAAUAGAGUAAAAAAUAAAAAGGCAGGACAGGGAUUACAACUAAAAAAAAGCAGGA
rnacentral:lncRNA from 1 species